rnacentral:tRNA from 1 species
GCUGCCGUAGCUCAGUGGUAGAGCGCACCCUUGGUAAGGGUGAGGUCGAGAGUUCAAUCCUCUCCGGCAGCA